CCCCUCACCUCAGUCGCCUCUCUCAAAAACAAACCAGACCUCCACCAAGCCCUAGUUGCCACCCCACACCUUCGCUUGAAACCCCGCGGCAACAACGCCGCCGGUUACCAAACUAACACCCAUAGAGCACAUGGACCCCCUUAGCACAAAUCCAUGGCCAGUUUACUUCGAAUCGUUCCCCACCGUCUCGAAUCUUCAUUUGAAAAUUCGAGCAGAACCCUAAAGCCACCCCAACCAGUCCCAAAUUCACACCACGAGACCCUGGGCCUCCCUCACCUCUAAAAACCCCUUGUUUUCCCUCUAAUCAUGCUAGAACGGUUCGAAUCCGAAAUCGAAAAAAAACCCUAAACAAGACUAAAGCUGGAAUUUGUUCAAAAUAGGGGAAACUUGAGGUUUCAAUCGACCUUAGUCGAGUAUUCUCAUUCGAGAACACUCGAUAAUGGCCUGUUUUGGCCUCAAAAUAUUCGAGUCGAGUUUGUCUAGUUUCUGAUCUUUCGAGGCAUUUUUAUUUUCCUUUUUUGUUCUCUCUUUGUUAUUGUUUAUUUAUUUAAUUUUAUUCAUUUUUUGUUUUUUAUCGAUUGUUCUUUCCUUCUUCAUCAAUACCUUUUUAUUUGGUCCAAUUUUCAUCAUGGUUUCUGUUUGUUGACGAUUGUACGUGUUAUUAUUUGUGUAAACGAUUGACGAUGGUUUCUAUGAUUCCAAUGUUUCUUGUGUUAUUAACUCCAUCAAUUUGGUCUGAGUUGAUCAGGAUUGGUUCCCAAUAUGAUUCCCUUUGUUUGAUGCCGUGUUUGAUUUAAUCUGAUCUUCUGCUUUAAAUCACUGUUCGAAUUUGAUUAGGAAUUGGUUAUAGUUGUAGUGUUGUUGAUUAAUUAGGAGUCAGCUAAUAGGUUUGGGCAGGUUAGAAUGAAGGGGUUUAAUACAGAUUAAAAGGCCAGGCUAGAAUAGUAAUACACAGUAAGUUCAAGGGUAAUUCAGGGGUUAAUUUGAAAUUGAACCACUAGUCAUUAAAUUAAAGGCCGCUAUAGAACUUAAUGGAGACAAUUUUAAGCGGGAUGGAAUAGUUAAUAGACAACUAUUAGUAGAAGACUACUUUUUGUUUUGGAAGGACCAAUUUAAGAAUGAUUAACUAUCCACUAAGGCCUAAAAUCCGGAAAAGAAAAGGUGAUUGAAAAUUAGAGAAUUGAAUAAAAGGGAGAACAUUUUCUUCAAGUAAGGAUCAGUUUUGGAGGGCUAAAAAAAACCAGUUUUUGUCUUUGGAGAGAGAGAUAGUAGAACUUAAAAAGAAAAUAGAUAGUCUUUCAGGUUCUGCUUUUGGUUCUCUCUUGGUCCUAAAAUCAGUCUAAAAGAGAGUAUUGAGAGUCUAAAAAACUGAGUGAGGCUUUAUUUUACUGCUGAAAACUAGUGUUAGUACUGUGUUACAUUGAAAUUCAGGUGUUUUUUUUGUUUGAUUUCAAAGGGCUUGGGGUUCAAUUAGUUGUUAUGUUUGGUGUUGCUGAUAGGUAUUUCUGGAAUUUCACUAGGUUUCUGGACUGUCUAUUGUUGUGAUAUUAUUGUCGGACUGGUGUUACUGCUCUGCUACUUUUGUUGUUGUUGCUGUAUUGUUACUACUGCUACUGAUAAAUCCUUCUUUCUCUUUUCGUGUUUUUUCCAAUACCAGGUACACAGCUUGACUUUGAUAGCUAAUGUGUAAAAGUUUGAGCCUGUAAUCGAAACAUGAGAUUUAAUCUAUUUUAGCUUUGGAUUGCUGCUUCUGAACAUUUGAUUCGUCAAUGCUAGUUAGGUCUUUGUUUAAAUUCGUAUUUGACAGACCGAAACUAGUUUGUCGAACUAGGAGUUCGUUGAAUUAGGCUUGCUCGUAUUUAUAGAUAGUUUUAAUCUAGCUAAUACCUGCUUUAGUUUAGCAUUUUCUUCUAUUGGAAGUAGUAAGUCAAAAACAAGUAAGAAUGCAGUAAUUUCAGUGAUUCAUUAAUAACAAGGUCAGGCUACUUGUAAUUAGAAAAAAAAUUGAAACAUGACUUUAAAGUUCAAACGAGCAUUGUUCUGUUAGCUUAAGCAAUUGUGGAUCUAUUCAUACCUGUAGGCACGAGUUGAGUUGGAAAAGACGUGUUAACGUUCCCUUGAACAUUAAUGAUAAUAGGUUUUCCAAGUGUCGAUUAAAUUUAGUAAACUUUUGAGUAAGCAUUACUGAUUAAGGUUAGUUUUAGUUUCAAAUAAUUGUACACAACGAAUCACAAAUGGUUCUGAACUUCACGCAGUUAAUUCCAAUGGUUCAAUUCAUCUAAUAAUGUUAGAUUAACUUAAUUAAAGAACAGUUAGUUUGUUUUGAUAAUACUAUUUGUUACUCUCAUAUUCUAUUUAUAAUAUCACUUCAUUAAUAUUCACUAAAAGAAUAUAGAACGAAACAAUCUCCCUUUGUACAAGCUCGAUUGCAAUUUUCCGUUUGCAAUCGUCUUAAUCUAAUAACUAAUAAGUUAGGGCCUUUUCAAGCAUGUUAAUUAAUCAGGUUUUCUUUUAGAGACGAACUUAAUAGAAAAUAUAGUUCACUUUAGGUUUGCCUUUAAAUAAGAAAUAAUGAGACGAGUCUCGCCAAAUAAAAUGCACAAGCUGCGGGGUCCUUAAUAAAUGGUUACAAUAAUUGUAUAAACCCGGGAUGGGCCGUUUAGCAAAAUUUCACGGUCUUCCCCAAAAUAAUAAUACGUUAGUCUCUUUAGGCAUGCUUUUAACAAUAUUACCUCCCUAAACUUGGGUGCACAUUUAUGUGACCCAAAUCCAAAUAUCAACGGAGUCCAGACGUGCCAACGACCACUGGUACAUUGAUGUAACGUGGUUCGAGACACGUUUUCACAGCGUUGCAAUUCUCUUUAAAAAAAUAAUAAUAAAAGCGGUUAAAAGAUAAAAUUUGCAUACAAGUUCAUAAAUUAUUAAAAUCAGUUAAAUAAGCCGAAUAAGACAGUAGAGUGACAGUGCUAGAACCACGGAACUUGGAAAUUCCUAACACCUUUUCCUGGGUUAACAGAAUUCCUUAUCCAAAUUUUUGGUUUACGGACUGUAAUAUAGAGUCAUUUUUUCCUCGAUUCGGGAUUCAACCGGUGACUUGGGACACCAUAAAUCUCCCAACUAGUGACUCUAAAUUAGAUAAAUAAAUCACGUUUUGAUUGUCCUUAUAUUGGAAAAACUCCCUGACGGGCGCAGGUAAAAAGAAGAUGUGACAGCUCUAACGACUCUGCUGGGGAGACAAAGACCCAGAACCGCUGGUUGAGGGUUAGAAAUUCGAGCUGAUAAUAAAUUUUAUAUUUUGGCUUUAUUAUAUGAUAUUUUCAUAUGAUUUGUGCUUAAUGUGCAAAAUGAUAUUUUUUACCGCUUUGAUAUUAUUUGAUCUGUACAUAUAAAUUGUGCCGAAACCUUCUCUUCGUACCUCCGAGGAUGUGCUCACUGGUUGAGACUCCCUAUUAUGUUAGUGUCAUACCUUUAAAUAAAAAGAGGCUCAGAUAAGUUACUUGGGUUCAUCCGCCCUCGAAUAGUAUAUUUUGGGUUUAUCCUCCCUCGAAUAGGAUAUUUCAUCCACCCUCGAAUAGGAUAUUUUGGGUUCAUCCGUCCUAUUCGAGGGCGGAUGAACCUAAGAUAUCCUAUUCGAGGACGGAUGAACCCAAGAUAUCCUAUUCGAGGGCGGACGAACCUAAAAUAUCAUAUUCGAGGGCAGAUGAACCCAAAAUAUCCUAUUCAAGAUACACUAAAAAAUUAGCAUUUUAAUUAAUUUUUGAUUUAUCAUUUAAGUUAGAUUUUUGGCAUUAUUAAUUAGAGAAAGGAAGAAAUGAAACAAGGAGAAAAACUCGGAACUGGGCUGUCCCAAACAAACCAUUGAAUCAGGCCCAAAAUAUUUUCUAACCCAGUCCAAAUCUUCAUGGCCUCACCAAAGUCGAAACGAUGUCGAUUUUUUUGUUGCAUUUUGAUAUGAACCGUCGAUCACGUUAGAUUGAAUGGUUCAGUCUGGUCCCAGCCUAAACUAAACAACGACAUUCAAUUCAACCAAUCUUAGACGUUCAAUCAUUAUCAAUCUAACCGCCCUCAUCCCAUCUCCCCAACCCGUCUCACCAACCCGACCAAAUACCCAAACCCAUCUGGUCCUAGAGAAGGCUAAACGACAUCGUUUGGUUUAGUCGAUUGAUCCAAUCCAUUGAUCUCAAAUGAUCUAACGGCCAAGAUCAAAUCCACCCCCUAUAUAUAUUCCUAAUCCCUCACCCCACCCCCAAACCAACCCCCACCUCAAUCGUCUCUAUCAGAUACCAACCAGACCUCCACCAAACCCUAGCCGCCACCCCACACUUUCGCCUGAAACCCGAUAGCAACAAUGCCGCCGGUCACCAAACUAACACCCCUAGAGCAUAUGGACUCCCUCAACCCAAAUCCCUAGCCAGAUUACUUCGAACCGCUCUACACCGUCUGGAAUCUUCAUUUGAAAAUUCGAGCAGAACCCUAAAGCCACCCCAACCAGUCCCAAAUUCACAUCACGGGACCCCUGGGCCUCCCUAACCUCUAAAAAAACCUUUGGUUUCUCUCGAAUCAUGCUAGAACGGUUCAAAUCCCAAAUAAAAAAAACAUAAACAAGACCAAAGCUGGAAUUCGUCCAAAAUAGGGGAAAUUUGAGGUUUCAAUCGACCUUAGUCGAGUAUUCUC
rnacentral:lncRNA from 1 species